rnacentral:rRNA from 1 species
UACGUAGGGUGCAAGCGUUAAUCGGAAUUACUGGGCGUAAAGCGUGCGCAGGCGGUUUUGUAAGUCUGACGUGAAAUCCCCGGGCUCAACCUGGGAAUUGCGUUGGAGACUGCAAGGCUGGAGUGUGGCAGAGGGGGGUGGAAUUCCGCGUGUAGCAGUGAAAUGCGUAGAGAUGCGGAGGAACACCGAUGGCGAAGGCAGCCCCCCUGGGCUGACACUGACGCUCAGGCACGAAAGCGUGGGGAGCAAACAGG